CUGGAACCUGUUGCAGCAAGAAGGAGGGUAAACUGCCACUGACCUAAAGAAUCAAGUGGGGACUUCCGCAGCUUUCUGCUUUAUCCACUUGCUUAUACCAUUGCAGGAAGGAAGAUAGAAGCAAAACAACACAUUCAGCACUGCAUGUAGUCUGACCCAAAGAUGAGAAGUUGGCAAAACCUUUGCAGCCUAACAGGGCUGAAAAUCCACAUGCUCAGUCAAAGAGAAUGAAAUGAAAUUGAUUGUUUUCAAAUA